UACAGAGGGUGCGAGCGUUGUUCGGAAUUACUGGGCGUAAAGCGCGCGCAGGCGGCCCUUUAAGUCUACCCGUGAAAUGCCGGAGCUCAACUCCGUGCACGCCGGGGGAUACUGUCGGACUAGAGUCCGGAAGAGGCAAGUGGAAUUCCCGGUGUAGCGGUGAAAUGCGCAGAUAUCGGGAGGAACACCAAUGGCGAAGGCAGCUUGCUGGGACGGUACUGACGCUGAGGCGCGAAAAGCGUGGGGGAGCAAACAGGGAUUAGAAAACCC
rnacentral:rRNA from 1 species